rnacentral:snRNA from 1 species
AUACUUACCUGGCAGGGGAGAUACCAUGAUCACGAAGGUGGUUUUCCCAGGGCAAAGCUUAUCCAUUGCUGACCCCUGCGAUUUCUCCAAAUGUGGGAAACCUGACUGCAUAAUUUGUGGUAGUGGGGGACUACGUUCAUACUCUCCCC